GAAAAGUGAGCGGAUGAACUGAGGGUAGCGGAGAAAUUCCAAUCGAACCUGGAGAUAGCUGGUUCUCUCCGAAAUAGCUUUAGGGCUAGCCUCAAGUGAUGAUUAUUGGAGGUAGAGCACUGUUUGGACGAGGGGCCCCUCUCGGGUUACCGAAUUCAGACAAACUCCGAAUGCCAAUUAAUUUAACUUGGGAGUCAGAACAUGGGUGAUAAGGUCCGUGUUCGAAAGGGAAACAGCCCAGACCACCAGCUAAGGUCCCAAAAUAUAUGUUAAGUGGAAAAGGAUGUGGCGUUGCCCAGACAACUAGGAUGUUGGCUUAGAAGCAGCCAUCAUUUAAAGAGUGCGUAAUAGCUCACUAGUCGAGUGACACUGCGCCGAAAAUGUACCGGGGCUAAACAUAUUACCGAAGCUGUGGAUUGUCCUUUGGACAAUGGUAGGAGAGCGUUCUAAGGGCGUUGAAGCAUGAUCGUAAGGACAUGUGGAGCGCUUAGAAGUGAGAAUGCCGGUGUGAGUAGCGAAAGACGGGUGAGAAUCCCGUCCACCGAUUGACUAAGGUUUCCAGAGGAAGGCUCGUCCGCUCUGGGUUAGUCGGGUCCUAAGCUGAGGCCGACA
rnacentral:rRNA from 1 species